GUGUAAGUUGUUGAGAGCGUAUGGUGGAUGCCUUGGCAUCAGGAGCCGAUGAAGGACGUGGGAAUCUGCGAUAAGCCUGGGGGAGUUGAUAACCGGACGGUGAUCCCAGGAUGUCCGAAUGGGGGAACCCCGCAUGCUGUGAGGUGUGUGACCUGACACUGAAUAUAUAGGUGUUAUGGGGGGAACGAGGGGAAGUGAAACAUCUCAGUACCCUUAGGAAGAGAAAACAAUAGUGAUUCCGUUAGUAGUGGCGAGCGAACGCGGAUGGGGCUAAACCUGUAUCGUGUGAUACCCGGCAGGGGUUGCGGUGCGGGGGUUGUGGGUGUAUGUGUCCAGUUACUGCCGUGGCUGGCUGGUGAGGUGCGGGCGUGGAGACGAAGCAGUGUGAGUGCUGCACCGUAGAGGGUGUGAGUCCCGUAGUCGUAUUAUGUUCCGCCGCUAGAUCGUAUGACCCGAGUAGCACGGGGCUCGUGGAAUCUCGUGUGAAUCUGCCAGGACCACCUGGUAAGCCUGAAUACUACCUGAUGACCGAUAGCGGAUCAGUACCGUGAGGGAAUGGUGAAAAGUACCCCGGGAGGGGAGUGAAAUAGUGCCUGAAACCAUGCGCUUACAAACCGUCAAAGCCCUUUUUUGUGGGGUGAUGGCGUGCCUUUUGAAGAAUGAGCCUGCGAGUUAGUGCUGUGUCGCGAGGUUAACCCGUGUGGGGUAGUCGUAGCGAAAGCGAGUCUGAAUAGGGCGUUGUAGUGGCACGGUCUAGACCCGAAGCGGGGUGAUCUACCCAUGGCCAGGUUGAAGCGUGUGUAAGAGCACGUGGAGGACCGAACCCACCUAGGUUGAAAACUGGGGGGAUGAGCUGUGGGUAGGGGUGAAAGGCCAAUCAAACUCCGUGAUAGCUGGUUCUCCCCGAAAUGCAUUUAGGUGCAGCGUUACGUGUUUCUUUACCGUGGUAGAGCUACUGGAUGGCUGAUGGGCCCUACAAGGUUACUGACGUCAACCAAACUCCGAAUGCGGUGAAGUGAGAGCGUAGCAGUGAGACUGUGAGGGAUAAGCUUCAUGAGUCGAGAGGGAAACAGCCCAGAACAUCAGCUAAGGCCCCUAAGCGUGUGCUAAGUGGGAAAGGAUGUGGAGUUGCUGAGACAACCAGGAGGUUGGCUUAGAAGCAGCCACCCUUGAAAGAGUGCGUAAUAGCUCACUGGUCAAGUGAUUCCGCGCCGACAAUGUAGCGGGGCUCAAGUACACCGCCGAAGCUGUGUCACUCCAUACUUU
rnacentral:rRNA from 1 species